rnacentral:rRNA from 1 species
GGACGUACGGGUACAGUGGGGUUUGUUCCCACAAGUCGAGAGAACCGAACAAGGGGACCUCUUCUCCGGGUUUGNGGCGGGCCCCUGAGUACCACCCGGGGAACCCCCCCCAAGACCGGGUUCCCUCCGGGAAACCGGAGCUAAUACCGGAUAACACCCAAGACCGCAUGGUCUUUGGUUGAAAGGCGGCUUCGGCUGUCACUUGCGGAUGGGCCCGCGGCGCAUUAGCUAGUUGGUGAGGUAACGGCUCACCAAGGCGACGAUGCGUAGCCGGCCUGAGAGGGUGACCGGCCACACUGGGACUGAGACACGGCCCAGACUCCUACGGGAGGCAGCAGUAGGGAAUCUUCCGCAAUGGACGAAAGUCUGACGGAGCGACGCCGCGUGAGCGAAGAAGGCCUUCGGGUCGUAAAGCUCUGUUGUGAGGGACGAAGGAGCGCCGUUUGAAUAAGGCGGCGCGGUGACGGUACCUCACGAGAAAGCCCCGGCUAACUACGUGCCAGCAGCCGUGGUAAUACGUAGGGGGCGAGCGUUUGCCGGAAUUAUUGGGCGUAAAGCGCGCGCAGGCGGUCCUUUAAGUCUGAUGUGAAAGCCCACGGCUCAACCGUGGAGGGUCAUUGGAAAUUGGGGGACUUGAUUUAGAUACCUCUGGUAGUUCCUCACCGUAAACGAUGAGUGCUAAGUGUUAGAGGGGUCACACCCUUUAGUGCUGAAGCUAACGCGAUAAGCACUCCGCCUGGGGAGUACGGCCGCAAGGCUGAAACUCAAAGGAAUUGACGGGGGCCCGCACAAGCGGUGGAGCAUGUGGUUUAAUUCGAAGCAACGCGAAGAACCUUACCAGGUCUUGACAUCCCCUGACAACCCAAGAGAUUGGGCGUUCCCCCUUCGGGGGGACAGGGUGACAGGUGGUGCAUGGUUGUCGUCAGCUCGUGUCGUGAGAUGUUGGGUUAAGUCCCGCAACGAGCGCAACCCUUGCCUCUAGUUGCCAGCAUUCAGUUGGGCACUCUAGAGGGACUGCCGGCUAAAAGUCGGAGGAAGGUGGGGAUGACGUCAAAUCAUCAUGCCCCUUAUGACCUGGGCUACACACGUGCUACAAUGGGCGGUACAAAGGGCUGCGAACCCGCGAGGGGGAGCGAAUCCCAAAAAGCCGCUCUCAGUUCGGAUUGCAGGCUGCAACUCGCCUGCAUGAAGCCGGAAUCGCUAGUAAUCGCGGAUCAGCAUGCCGGGGUGAAUACGU